GGACUCGUGCCUGAAGUAAAGGAUUACUUUGAUAGAGUAAAUAAUGAAGGUUAAAAUCCUUCCGACUCCU
rnacentral:tRNA from 1 species